rnacentral:rRNA from 1 species
GACGAACGCUGGCGGCGUGCUUAACACAUGCAAGUCGAACGCUGAAGCUCCGCUUUUGUUGGGUGGAUGAGUGGCGAACGGGUGAGUAACACGUGAGUAACCUGCCCCGUUCUUUGGGAUAACGCCCGGAAACGGGUGCUAAUACUGGAUAUUCACUGGUCUUCGCAUGGGGGCUGGUGGAAAGUGCUGUUCUGGUGGGGGAUGGGCUCGCGGCCUAUCAGCUUGUUGGUGGGGUGAUGGCCUACCAAGGCUUUGACGGGUAGCCGGCCUGAGAGGGUGACCGGGCACAUUGGGACUGAGAUACGGCCCAGAUUCCUACGGGAGGUAGCAGUGGGGAAUAUUGUACAAUGGGUGAAAGUCUGAUGGCGCGACGGCGCGGGAGGGGUGGAGGCCUGCGGGUUGUGAACCUCUUUCGCCAAUGGUCAAGCCGCAACAAUGGUUGUAGUGACGGUAGUGGGUAAAGAAGCGCCGGCUAACUACGUG